GUCCACGCCGUAAAACGGUGGAUGCUGGAUGUGGGGCCCGUUCCACGGGUUCCGUGUCGGAGCUAACGCGUUAAGCAUCCCGCCUGGGGAGUACGGCCGCAAGGCUAAAACUCAAAGAAAUUGACGGGGCCGGCACAAGCGGCGGAGCAUGCGGAUUAAUUCGAUGCAACGCGAAGAACCUUACCUGGGCUUGACAUGUUCCCGACGGUCGUAGAGAUACGGCUUCCCUUCGGGGCGGGUUCACAGGUGGUGCAUGGUCGUCGU
rnacentral:rRNA from 1 species